rnacentral:rRNA from 1 species
GAUGAACGCUGGCGGCGUGCCUAAUACAUGCAAGUCGAGCGAACAGACGAGGAGCUUGCUCCUCUGACGUUAGCGGCGGACGGGUGAGUAACACGUGUAUAACCUACCUAUAAGACUGGGAUAACUUCGGGAAACCGGAGCUAAUCCCGGAUAAUAUAUUGAACCGCAUGGUUCAAUAGUGAAAGACGGUUUUGCUGUCACUUAUAGAUGGAUCUGCGCCGCAUUAGCUAGUUGGUAAGGUAACGGCUUACCAAGGCAACGAUGCGUAGCCGACCUGAGAGGGUGAUCGGCCACACUGGAACUGAGACACGGUCCAGGCUCCUACGGGAGGCAGCAGUAGGGAAUCUUCCGCAAUGGGCGAAAGCCUGACGGAGCAACGCCGCGUGAGUGAUGAAGGUCUUCGGAUCGUAAAACUCUGUUAUUAGGGAAGAACAAAUGUGUAAGUAACUAUGCACGUCUUGACGGUACCUAAUAAGAAAGCCACGGCUAACUACGUG